UACGGAGGGUGCAAGCGUUGUCCGGAUUUAUUGGGUUAAGGGUGCGUAGGCGGCUGAUUAAGUCUGGGGUGAAAGCCCGUUGCUCAACAACGGAACUGCCCUGGAAACUGGUUAGCUUGAGUACAGACGAGGGUGGCGGAAUGGAUGCUGUAGCGGUGAAAUGCAUAGAUAGCAUCCAGAACCCCGAUUGCGAAGGCAGCUGCCUAGACUGGUAACUGACGC
rnacentral:rRNA from 1 species